GGACGGUGCGGCUGCUUCGUUGAGCCGCGCCACGGAAUCGAGAGCUCCAAGUGGUCCAUUUUUGGUAAGCAGAAUUGGCGAUGCGGGAUGAACCGGAAGCCGGGUUACAGUGCCCAACUGCGCGCUAACCUAGAACCCACAAAGGGUAUUGGUCGAUUAAGAUAACAGGACGGUGGUCAUGGAAGUCGAAAUCCGCUAAUGAGUGUAACAACUCACAUGCCGAAUCAACUAGCCCUGAAAAUGGAUGGCGCUCAAGCGCGCGACCUAUACCCAGCCGUCGGGGCAAGGGCCAGGCCCCGAUGAGUAGGAGGGCGCGGCGG
rnacentral:ncRNA from 1 species